AGACGCCUGCCCUUUUACUCUUGGUGGGGCUUCGAGCAAACACAGCUGUCAGAUGGGGCUGCUGGGGCUGCAGGAUGGCACGUCCCUGUGGGGAAAGGUACACGCCCUUAGGAUACUUGGGGAGUCCCUUCCCUGGCUUGAGGCCUAAGGUGAGGUCAGGGCAGGGCACUGACCUGCUAAUGCCAGGUGACCGUGAGCCAGGAGAGUGGAAAGGCCAGAUCUUGCUGGGGCUUAAGCUGCAGGAGGGUAAGGGCAUCCUGGGGCGAGGGCUGCAAUGCUGCUGGGCCCCCAGGCCAGGUCUCCUCUGCUGGUCCCUGUCCUUCAGGACAAGGUCAGCUUGUGGGCCAAGCGAAUUCACCACCAGGCCCGGAUGCUCUUAUGUUAGAACACCUUGCUGGACACGUUGA
rnacentral:lncRNA from 1 species